rnacentral:misc_RNA from 1 species
UUGAUUCAUUUUUUUGUUUGUACUCAGAGGAGACUUCCGUGGAGACUGGGUUUGGGGCCUCCGGCGGGCGCCGGCCACAGGGGCCGCUCCCGCCGAAGCAACGAUCGGUAUGGUUCGCGGGGGUUUGGGAGUUGUAAAGCUCGUUAAUGAUCCCUCCGCUGGUUCACCAACGGAGA